AGUCAGUUAACACCAGUUCUCGUACGAUCACCGAAGUUAAGCAAAAUAGAGCUUGGUCAAUACCGGGAUGAGUGACCGCCCAGGAAUACCUAGGCGCUGUAA